AUGCUUUAUAAAAGCUGUCGACGUGCGACCGAAUGUCGGCCGGGCACUGGAGGAGGUUAUCACCGUCUCACAGGAGAAGGAUGGUGUUACAACGUCUCCGGCCGUUGGCUGGAAAUAUGCCGUAUUGGCGUCCCCCUGGAGGACCCAUCUUUGGGUACCACGCAUGCGCCAAUAAGCCUCCUCAUCGGUGUAGAUUACCAUGAGCUGGUCUUCAAGAUCAUAUUGGAGCAACCACUCGUCAGGAGACAGGCCCGAAGUGUCAGCUCGGAGGUCCAACUCCUGGAUGGAGGAGAGGAGGGCUUUCUUGCGAUCCCGCAGGUUCCGACCGAGGUUUCCACCCCACCCCUUCAUAAACUAGCGAGCCCGUUUGGCGUAGAAAUGCCAUGA
rnacentral:rRNA from 1 species